UAGCGCAAAUUGAAAGAAGUAUGUUGAUUGGCUUCCGCUAAAACCGACCGCGCUUUGUUUGUCGGCCGCCUUAGAAGUUAGCGUCACUUUGCGGAGCGUUUGAUCUGGAAGGAAAUCUACAAGAUUUAAUUGCGCAUCUGUUUCAGACAAAAUGGCAGCUACAAAAAAGGCAAGCCCCAAGAAGACUCCAGCCAAAAAAGCUGACAAACCAAAAUCUACCAAGGGGCGCGGCAGACCAAAGGGUUCUGUAAAGAAAGCAGGGAAGAAGGCAGGUGGAGCGAAGAAAGUGAAACGUGCCGGAAAGAAGGCAAAAUAAGUUAAAUGUCCCACAUUCAUCACCAUGUAGUCUCCAGUUAUGUAGAUAUAUCCACAUUGCACAAAAAAACUACAUUUUCUUGGUUCUCAACACAGAAAAAUAGACAUUAUUUGUUUUCCAAAACUGAAGAGUUCCUAAGUUUAUAGAAAACUAUUUUUACAUAAAUUAUCUUUGCAAGAAUCUCAUCUCUCCAAUGGAGGGGAAUCGUGAACAAAAAUGUGAAAAUGUGAAUUCUUUGAAGAUGGACUGCAAAAAGAAAAUUUUACUGUAGCCAUGGCAACUGUUAUGUGGACUUUAAUAUCUAUUUAUCAGGGAAAAUUUUGUGUGUUUUCACUAGUAUAGUUGUUUAGACAUGACUUUCUUCUCUAUAGGCAUUUGACAUAAAAUUAAUUUUCUGUUACAUAAAACCAUCCAUAACAAAAAAUAUUUUAACAAAGUUUUAUACCGGUUAUAUAUUUUUCGAUUUUUAUCAUUUUCCUUUCAUACACAUUUUUAUUCAUUCAUUUUCAUGCAAGUUUUCCUUUUAACAAUUUUAAGACUUAACUUUUAUAGAAUCCAUGUCGUUUUUUUUGCAUUAUGCAACGGAAGAAAAAUACAUCCUUUUCUUUUUCAAUCACUUUUAUAUCAUUUUUAAAUACUCAUUUGGCUAUGUAUUGUUUUGUAGGGCUCUGAAUGUAAAUUACUUAAAUAUAUAUAAUUGUAUGUAAUAAACUGCAAUAAUUCUGUAUUAAACAUAAUUGUUGUAAAA